rnacentral:rRNA from 1 species
CCUACGGGUGGCUGCAGUGGGGAAUAUUGGACAAUGGGCGAAAGCCUGAUCCAGCCAUGCCGCGUGUGUGAAGAAGGCCUUCGGGUUGUAAAGCACUUUCAGUGGGGAAGAAAGCCUUGGGGCUAAUACCCUCGAGGAAGGACAUCACCCACAGAAGAAGCACCGGCUAACUCCGUGCCAGCAGCCGCGGUAAUACGGAGGGUGCGAGCGUUAAUCGGAAUUACUGGGCGUAAAGCGCGCGUAGGCGGUCUGAUAAGCCGGUUGUGAAAGCCCCGGGCUCAACCUGGGAACGGCAUCCGGAACGGUCAGGCUAGAGUGCAGGAGAGGAAGGUAGAAUUCCCGGUGUAGCGGUGAAAUGCGUAGAGAUCGGGAGGAAUACCAGUGGCGAAGGCGGCCUUCUGGACUGACACUGACGCUGAGGUGCGAAAGCGUGGGUAGCAAACAGGAUUAGAUACCCGGGUAGUC